rnacentral:rRNA from 1 species
CUACGGGUGGCACCAGUGGGGAAUAUUGCACAAUGGGCGAAAGCCUGAUGCAGCAACGCCGCGUGAGCGAUGAAGGCCUUCGGGUCGUAAAGCUCUGUCCUCAAGGAAGAAUUUUGACGGUACUUGAGGAGGAAGCCCCGGCUAACUACGUGCCAGCAGCCGCGGUAAUACGUAGGGGGCUAGCGUUAUCCGGAAUUACUGGGCGUAAAGGGGGCGUAGGUGGUCUGACAAGUCAGGGGUGAAAGGCUACGGCUCAACCGUAGUAAGCCCUUGAAACUGUCGGACUUGAGUGCAGGAGAGGAAAGUGGAAUUCCCAGUGUAGCGGUGAAAUGCGUAGAUAUUGGGAGGAACAUCAGUGGCGAAGGCGACUUUCUGGACUGUAACUGACACUGAGGCACGAAAGCGUGGGGAGCAAACAGGAUUAGAUACCCGGGUAGUC